rnacentral:rRNA from 1 species
UACGGAGGGUGCUAGCGUUGUUCGGAAUCACUGGGCGUAAAGGGCGUGUAGGCGGUCUGUUAAGUCUGAUGUGAAAUCCCCUCGCUUAACGAGGGAACUGCGUCGGAUACUGGCAGACUCGAGUACCGGAGAGGAAGGUGGAAUUCCCGGUGUAGCGGUGAAAUGCGUAGAUAUCGGGAAGAACACCUAUGGCGAAGGCAGCUCUCUGGGACGGUACUGACGCUGAGACGCGAAAGCGUGGGGAGCGAACAGG